rnacentral:rRNA from 1 species
UUGAUUACGUCCCUGCCCUUUGUACACACCGCCGUCGCUGCCCGGGACUGAGCCAUUUCGAGAAACUCGGGGAUUGUUGGCUUUGCGGCCCCUCGGGGUCGUGUUGCCGGUGAGAACCGAUUUAAUCGCAGUGGCUUGAACCGGGCAAAAGUCGUAACAAGGUAGCUGUAGGUGAACCUGCUGCUGGAUCAUUACCCACCUGAUCACACUCGCUACCUAUAUCGUGAGGCUGUUGGAUGCGGGCGCACACAUCCUGCGUGGGGGCACUUGCUACUGGGUGCACACAUGCGGCGAUGAGACCGGGCUCUCGGCGAGAGAGCUGACGCUCCUUCGGCUGCACCUGCUCUGUUGGACAUUUGGUUGGGGUGCACGCAUGCCGGCAUGUUGUGUGCAGUGCACACCAGCAGAGCAGACAACGGCUUCUGUUGGCGUCUAUGCGUUGUUGAGCAGUCUGUUGCGCGSSUGUUUGSUUAUCGGUGUUGKUKUGUGCSUUKUGCKUKGCUGGCGCGGGACCCUUUGGGUUUCCCGGCGCCCUWCCUAAUGGAGUAGCAACUUGGUAUGCAGCGCAUCCGCACACGCAUUGUACCAGCUAGCGUGCUACGUCCGUGGCUUGCAAUGAGACAACGCGGGAAAAGUGCGGCCAUUGAAGGUUUGUCGUGCUCAGACUUGAUGAGCCCCUGGCAUGUUGGGCCGCCAGACAAACCCUUUUUUCAAUUACACAUUUUUUGUAUGGCCUUUGUUGGCUAAGAGAAAGAAAGAAUUCUAGUCUUAUCGGUGAAUCACUCGGCUCGUAGGUCGAUGAAGAACGCAGCCAACUGCGAUAAGUAGUGUGAACUGCAGAAACCUUGAACACAGAACAUUCGAAUGCACAUUGCGCCAUUGGAGUAACAUCCUUUGGCACGCCUGGUUCAGGGUCGUUAUCCGAAAAUGCACAGCAAUUGCGUGUACAGUUUUGCCUGAUCAAUUUGAAACGGUUGUUCGUGCAUUGGUGCCCACAGCGUCCGGGCGACUGCACUGUGUCGCGCUGGCAUGGACUUGUCCAACACUGUUUGUGUCCAUGUCCUACCGAUGAGUAGUAUAGGCGCGACCGUCUUUCGCUCUGGACAGCUGGCUGCUUGUGUGCGGCCAAAUUUGCAUAUAUAUUCAACACAUUUCGACCUGAACUCAGACGUGAACACCCGCUGAACUUAAGCAUAUCAUUUAGCGGAGGA